UCAGCCGCCGCGGUAAAACCAGCACCUCGAGUGGUCAGGAGGUUUAUUGGGCCUAAAGCAUCCGUAGCCGGUUGUUUAAGUUUUCGGUUAAAUCUAUGCGCUUAACGUAUAGGCUGCCGAAAAUACUGGACAGCUAGGGAGUGGGAGAGGUACACGGUACUCAAUAGGAAGGGGUAAAAUCCUUUGAUCUGUUGAUGACCACCUGUGGCGAAGGCGGUGUACCAGAACACGUUCGACGGUGAGGAAUGAAAGCUGGGGGAGCAAACUGGAUUAGAUACCCGGGUAGUCCCAGCUGUAAACGAUGCAAACUCGGUGAUGCAUUGGCUUGUGGCCAAUGCAGUGCCGCAGGGAAGCCGUUAAGUCUGCCGCCUGGGGAGUACGAUCGCAAGGUUGAAACUUAAAGGAAUUGGCGGGGGAGCACA
rnacentral:rRNA from 1 species